UACGGGGGGGGCAAGCGUUGUUCGGAAUUACUGGGCGUAAAGGGUUCGUAGGUGGCCAACUAAGUCAAACGUGAAAUCCCUCAGCUUAACUGGGGAACUGCGUCUGAUACUGGUUGGCUUGAGUGCAGGAGAGGAACGCGGAAUUCCAGGUGUAGCGGUGAAAUGCUUAGAUAUCGUCAAGAACACCGAUAGUGAAGACAGCUUACUAGACUUCAACUGACGCUGAGGCACGAAAGUGUGGGGAUCAAACAGG
rnacentral:rRNA from 1 species